rnacentral:misc_RNA from 1 species
CAGCUCCUAUGACAUUCAGGAGAUCACAUAUAUUUUUGUUCGUUAGGGGAACGUAUCUUAGCAGAGACAAGCAACAGUGAGGAGACAUUUUUUUUCGCUUAAAUGUCUAUACGACGCUCUCUGUACGAGGGGUUCAAAAAUGUUCACAACAAGCUCCACAAUGUGAAAACAACCAGUGAUUUUCAAACCACAGGACGACUCACUCCGAAAGAGUUUGUGGAGGCGGGUGACGAACUUGUACAGAAGAACCCUGUAUGGCAGUGGGUCGGCGGCCCUGAGAGCGUGCAAGACUACCUUCCGAAAGAAAAAAAAUGCAUUGUCUACCGCGGUGCCCCGUGCAGUGAACGAGCGCCAGUGGACUCGACGAACGCUUCACCAGAGGCAGUUGAUGAGGACGACUUUGUUUUGACAGAAGCCACACAGGUUGCCCUGCCCGCCACAGCCCUCGAAGAGGAAAAGGUGCUCACCUGGGACGAAGACGACGAUGACUCUGGCGAAGAGGACGUUGUUGCCACGGCAACUGAUAACUCAAACUUGCGCGUCUAUGAUGUUUACAUUGUGUACGACAAAUACUACCAAACACCGCGUAUGUAUUUGGUGGGGUACGCUAGCGAUCAUGUAACACCUCUCUCAAUGGGUCAAAUGAAAGAGGACGUUUACCGCUCCAACUAUGGAAAAACAGUCACCAUCGACCCCCACCCUGUUCUCUCGAUUCCGUGCAUAAGUAUUCACCCUUGCCGCCACGCUGAGACAAUGCGCAGCUUGAUGCAUCGGAUGCAAGAAAACUACAAUCGCGAAAAGGCGAAUGAUCCCAACGCUGAGCCAUUUGUUUUUCCCACCCACUUAGCCUUGCUUCUCUUCUUGAAAUUCAUCUCUACUGUUCUGCCAACAAUUCAGUACGACGUCUCCUCGGGGUUUCACUUAGUGUGAUUAUUAUUAUUUCUGCAUGCGCUGCACCAGAGAGAAAAAACACGUCCUUUCACUGCAAGAGACGGUCCCAGCCCAGAUUUUCAACCGUUACUGCUUUGAAAUCUA